AUGUUCACAUGGAGGCUGGCUCGUCACUCACUUCCUACCAGUGAUGUUCUGCAUCAUCGAAACAUGUCACCAUCACAUGUGUGUGCGUUAUGCGGAGCAGAUGACAACUGGCGCCAUUCUCUUAUUGAUUGUAACUACGCGCGGUGCGUGUGGGCUCUAUCAAAUGAGGAUAUGGUGCAGUAUAUGUGUAUGGAGAGAGAUGAACAGGGAAAGAGAUGGCUCUUUCUGAUGAGCGAAUCGCUUCCUCAAGAGGAAUUCACUACCAUGAUUGUCACACUAUGGGCGAUUUGGGCAGUGAGGAGAAAGAUAAUCCAUGAAGGAAUUUACAAAACUCCAUUCGCUACUCAUGGUUUUGUGACUAGCUACUUGGCUGAUUUGAAGCACAUACAAAAACCUGUUGAGAGGUCACCGGCAACUCCAAAGGUCCACCCUACUGCUUGGCGGCCACCACCGAAUGAUCAUGUUAAGAUUAAUGUCGAUGCGGCUGUGCCGCGUGCUGGCCAUUUGCCGUGA
rnacentral:rRNA from 1 species